GAAAUGCGAUACGUAGUGUGAAUUGCAGAAUUCAGUGAAUCAUCGAAUCUUUGAACGCACAUUGCGCCCUUUGGUAUUCCAAAGGGCAUGCCUGUUCGAGCGUCAUUUGUACCCUCAAGCUUUGCUUGGUGUUGGGCGUUUUUUGUCUUUGGCUCGCCCAAAGACUCGCCUUAAAACGAUUGGCAGCCGGCCUACUGGUUUCGCAGCGCAGCACAUUUUUGCGCGUGCAAUCAGCAAAAGAGGACGGCAAUCCAUCAAGACUCCUUCUCACGUUUGACCUCGGAUCAGGUAGGGAUACCCGCUGAACUUAAGC
rnacentral:misc_RNA from 1 species